rnacentral:rRNA from 1 species
CUUGAAAUGUAUUGGCAUGAGUGGUACUGGAUAGUGCUAUAUGACUUUCAAUGUAUUAGGUUUAUCCAACUCGUUGAAUAGUUUAAUGGUAUAUUUCUCGGUAUUCUAGGCUCGGCCUUACAAUAUAACAAACAAGUUUGACCUCAAAUCAGGUAGGAUUACCCGCUGAACUUAAGCAUAUCAAUAAGCGGAGGAAAAGAAACCAACAGGGAUUGCCUUAGUAACGGCGAGUGAAGCGGCAAAAGCUCAAAUUUGAAAUCUGGCACCUUCGGUGUCCGAGUUGUAAUUUGAAGAAGGUAACUUUGGAGUUGGCUCUUGUCUAUGUUCCUUGGAACAGGACGUCACAGAGGGUGAGAAUCCCGUGCGAUGAGAUGCCCAAUUCUAUGUAAAGUGCUUUCGAAGAGUCGAGUUGUUUGGGAAUGCAGCUCUAAGUGGGUGGUAAAUUCCAUCUAAAGCUAAAUAUUGGCGAGAGACCGAUAGCGAACAAGUACAGUGAUGGAAAGAUGAAAAGAACUUUGAAAAGAGAGUGAAAAAGUACGUGAAAUUGUUGAAAGGGAAGGGCUUGAGAUCAGACUUGGUAUUUUGCGAUCCUUUCCUUCUUGGUUGGGUUCCUCGCAGCUUACUGGGCCAGCAUCGGUUUGGAUGGUAGGAUAAUGACUAAGGAAUGUGGCUCUA